AACGAACGCUGGCGGCAGGCUUAACACAUGCAAGUCGAGCGGGCCCUUCGGGGUCAGCGGCAGACGGGUGAGUAACACGUGGGAACGUACCUUUUGGUUCGGAACAACUCCGGGAAACUGGAGCUAAUACCGGAUAAGCCCUUAGGGGGAAAGAUUUAUCGCCAAAGGAUCGGCCCGCGUCUGAUUAGCUAGUUGGUGGGGUAACGGCCCACCAAGGCGACGAUCAGUAGCUGGUCUGAGAGGAUGAUCAGCCACACUGGGACUGAGACACGGCCCAGACUCCUACGGGAGGCAGCAGUGGGGAAUAUUGGACAAUGGGCGCAAGCCUGAUCCAGCCAUGCCGCGUGAGUGAUGAAGGCCUUAGGGUUGUAAAGCUCUUUUGUCCGGGAAGAUAAUGACUGUACCGGAAGAAUAAGCCCCGGCUAACUUCGUG
rnacentral:rRNA from 1 species